CCCUUUGGGGUGUGACUGCGUACCUUUUGUAUAAUGGGUCAGCGACUUAUAUUCUGUAGCAAGGUUAACCGAAUAGGGGAGCCGGAGGGAAACCGAGUCUUAAUUGGGCGUUAAGUUGCAGGGUAUAGACCCGAAACCCGGUGAUCUAGCCAUGGGCAGGUUGAAGGUUGGGUAACACUAACUGGAGGACCGAACCGACUAAUGUUGAAAAAUUAGCGGAUGACCUGUGGCUGGGGGUGAAAGGCCAAUCAAACCGGGAGAUAGCUGGUUCUCCCCGAAAGCUAUUUAGGUAGCGCCUCGUGAAUUCAUCUCCGGGGGUAGAGCACUGUUUCGGCUAGGGGGCCAUCCCGGCUUACCAACCCGAUGCAAACUGCGAAUACCGGAGAAUGUUAUCACGGGAGACACACGGCGGGUGCUAACGUCCGUCGUGAAGAGGGAAACAACCCAGACCGCCAGCUAAGGUCCCAAAGUCAUGGUUAAGUGGGAAACGAUGUGGGAAGGCCCAGACAGCCAGGAUGUUGGCUUAGAAGCAGCCAUCAUUUAAAGAAAGCGUAAUAGCUCACUGGUCGAGUCGGCCUGCGCGGAAGAUGUAACGGGGCUAAACCAUGCACCGAAGCUGCGGCAGCGAACGUAUCACUUAAAGCGAUUCAGCGGGUUACGAUUGACGGAGCGAAGCGACGUCAAAGCGUAUACAAAGUCGAGUCGGUUUAAGGAUACGUUCGUUGGGUAGGGGAGCGUUCUGUAAGCCUGUGAAGGUGUGUCGUGAGGCAUGCUGGAGGUAUCAGAAGUGCGAAUGCUGACAUAAGUAACGAUAAAGCGGGUGAAAAGCCCGCUCGCCGGAAGACCAAGGGUUCCUGUCCAACGUUAAUCGGGGCAGGGUGAGUCGACCCCUAAGGCGAGGCCGAAAGGCGUAGUCGAUGGGAAACGGGUUAAUAUUCCCGUACUUGGUGUUACUGCGAAGGGGGGACGGAGAAGGCUAUGUUGGCCGGGCGACGGUUGUCCCGGUUUAAGCGUGUAGGUGUGUGUUCCAGGUAAAUCCGGUUCACUUUAACACUGAGGCGUGAUGACGAGGCACUACGGUGCUGAAGCAACAAAUGCCCUGCUUCCAGGAAAAGCCUCUAAGCAUCAGGUAACAUCAAAUCGUACCCCAAACCGACACAGGUGGUCAGGUAGAGAAUACCAAGGCGCUUGAGAGAACUCGGGUGAAGGAACUAGGCAAAAUGGUGCCGUAACUUCGGGAGAAGGCACGCUGACAC
rnacentral:rRNA from 1 species